GAGGGUCUAGCUCAGUGGUACAGUGCAUGCCUAGCAUGCACGGGGUCCUGGGUUCAAUCCCCAGGACUGUCA
rnacentral:tRNA from 1 species